rnacentral:rRNA from 1 species
UACGGAGGGGGCUAGCGUUGUUCGGAAUUACUGGGCGUAAAGCGCGCGUAGGCGGACCUGCAAGUCGGGGGUGAAAGCCCGAGGCUCAACCUCGGAACUGCCUUCGAUACUGCGGGUCUCGAGUCCGGGAGAGGUGAGUGGAAUUCCUAGUGUAGAGGUGAAAUUCGUAGAUAUUAGGAAGAACACCAGUGGCGAAGGCGGUGCGCUGGGCCGAAACUGACGCUGAUGAGCGAAAGCGUGGGUAGCAAACAGG